rnacentral:rRNA from 1 species
AUUGAACGCUGGCGGCAUGCUUUACACAUGCCAGUCGAACGGCAGCGCGGGCUUCGGCCUGGCGGCGAGUGGCGAACGGGUGAGUAAUACAUCGGAACGUGCCCAGUAGUGGGGGAUAGCUCGGCGAAAGCCGGAUUAAUACCGCAUACGACCUGAGGGUGAAAGCGGGGGAUCUUCGGACCUCGCGCUAUUGGAGCGGCCGAUGGCAGAUUAGCUAGUUGGUGGGGUAAAGGCCUACCAAGGCGACGAUCUGUAGCUGGUCUGAGAGGACGACCAGCCACACUGGGACUGAGACACGGCCCAGACUCCUACGGGAGGCAGCAGUGGGGAAUGUUGGACAAUGGGCGAAAGCCUGAUCCAGCAAUGCCGCGUGUGUGAUGAAGGCCUUCGGGUUGUAAAGCACUUUUGGCGGGAACGAAAAGGACUGUGCCAAUACCACGGUUCGAUGACGGUACCCGCAGAAUAAGCACCGGCUAACUACGUG